ACCUUUGGAUUCAGAAAUGCAAGCUCCCUGAUUCGUCCAGCAAUAGUGUUAUGAUCGAACUCAACUGCAUUUGCUUAUGCUCCAUCCCAUCUCUCCAAACCGUAACCUCCAGGGCCUGCAAAUCAAUAGAUAAAGGAAACAUUCUAGCUUUAUCUUUCUAACAAUGCCAAGUAGCUUAUGGUUUCACAAAUCACUGAGAGGAUAUAAAGAUUUAAA